AGAUAUUAAAUUAAUGUUUGGAUUUUUGAAUACUCUUUUUGGGUAACGGGUAAUUUACGGACCAAUCAGAUAUCCACGGGUUUACUAAAACUCUACCCAAUAAGGAAAUUUCCUAAAAUUUUAACCCGCCUUAACCCGGUUUUUUGGUUCGGGUAUUAGGUUGGUUAUCGGGUCCGUUCUUUCGUUAGCCCUAUUAAAGAUAAUCUAAUAUAGGCCCCAAUUAGGUUCACAUAUAUAACCAAAAUACUAUACAAAGACUAAUUCUAAGUUAUGCCAAAAAUUAUAUCCUUUAAUACAAAGAAAACAUGUUUCUUACCAAAACAACUUGUAUACAAAUUUUACACAUUUACUUAAAACUACAUAUGUUGUAUUUAUUAUAAAAAUAACAUUUUUAAACAAAGUCAAUCUAAUGCAGCAUUAUAUGCAAAUAGUACAAACAUUGAAAAAUAUUAUGGCAUCAUUUUUAUACUAUACUAUUUCUUGUGUAAUUCGAAUAAAAUAUACAAUUUAAUUUAUAAAAAAUAUUAAUGUCUGUGCUGUAUAGCACGGGUUAUGAUCUAGUAAUCUUUUGCAUGGGAAAACUAAUUAUUGUCUUUUUAU
rnacentral:sRNA from 1 species